CCUACGGGGGGCAGCAGUGAGGAAUAUUGGUCAAUGGGCUUACGCCUGAACCAGCCAAGUCGCGUGAGGGAAGACUGCCCUAUGGGUUGUAAACCUCUUUUGUCAGGGAGCAAUUGGCGCUACGUGUAGCGUUAUCGAGAGUACCUGAAGAAAAAGCAUCGGCUAACUCCGUGCCAGCAGCCGCGGUAAUACGUAGGUGGCAAGCGUUGUCUGGAUUUACUGGGUGUAAAGGGCGUGCAGCCGGGAAGACAAGUCAGAUGUGAAAUCCCGCGGCUCAACCGCGGAACUGCAUUUGAAACUGUUUU
rnacentral:rRNA from 1 species